rnacentral:rRNA from 1 species
AGCAGUAGCCGCGGUAAUACGAAGGGUGCAAGCGUUAAUCGGAAUUACUGGGCGUAAAGCGUGCGUAGGCGGUGAGUUAAGUCUGCUGUGAAAUCCCCGGGCUCAACCUGGGAAUGGCAGUGGAUACUGGCUCGCUAGAGUGUGUCAGAGGAUGGUGGGAUUCCCGGUGUAGCGGUGAAAUGCGUAGAGAUCGGGAGGAACAUCAGUGGCGAAGGCGGCCAUCUGGGACAACACUGACGCUGAGGCACGAAAGCGUGGGGAGCAAACAGGAUUAGAUACCCGCGUAGUCCCUGUCUCUUAUAA